GUGGGGAAUAUUGGACAAUGGGCGCAAGCCUGAUCCAGCCAUGCCGCGUGAGUGAUGAAGGCCUUAGGGUUGUAAAGCUCUUUCACCGAUGAAGAUAAUGACGGUAGUCGGAGAAGAAGCCCCGGCUAACUUCGUGCCAGCAGCCGCGGUAAUACGAAGGGGGCUAGCGUUGUUCGGAUUUACUGGGCGUAAAGCGCACGUAGGCGGUUUGUUAAGUCAGGGGUGAAAUCCCGGAGCUCAACUCCGGAACUGCCUUUGAUACUGGGUGUCUUGAGUAUGGAAGAGGUAAGUGGAAUUCCGAGUGUAGAGGUGAAAUUCGUAGAUAUUCGGAGGAACACCAGUGGCGAAGGCGGCUUACUGGUCCAUUACUGACGCUGAGGUGCGAAAGCGUGGGGAGCAAACAGGAUUAGAUACCCUAGUAGUCC
rnacentral:rRNA from 1 species